GUCUCCGUGGCGCAAUGGUAGCGCGUUGGACUUCUACUUCUCUCCUUUUCGGGAGGCAAUCCAAAGGCUGCGGGUUCGAGCCCCGCCGGAGAUG